AUAUUAUGUGAUUCUCUCUCUUCAGUAUUCUCAACUUUAUUCUCUGCAUAUACCCGUUCCUCCAUGGAUUUUGAAAUACUUUUGCAAUUCAUAGCUUAAAUUAAAUCAACUUCCAUUUUAUGGAGCUCCACCAUCUUCUUCAUAAGAUAAAUUGGGGUUUGGACUUAUUCCCUGCUCUAACUUUGUCGCAUCAAGGUCAAAAUGAAGUUAGUUAACCCGGGGCACGCUCAAACGUGGGUUUUGCAAAGUAUUUUCGAAAUUUUUGUUUUCCCUCUUUUGAUCGCAUUGUGGAGUCCAAUAAUCAAACUGUGGGCGAAAAAUAACCAGCCCCCAACAAAAUUCAGUACAAGUGUAUGGAAUUUGUCUAUUCUAAUACUGAAAUAGCAUUGCAAUGAUGGAAAAAAAUAAUAGACAGUAUUGGACAAACCAGUGCUCCAUGUUUCAUGGUAACUUUGUGCUUCAAUGCAUGAAACUCAAGCUUCAAUGAAGUCAUUGUGCCUAAUAGCGUGAAACAGAGACAUCGAGAGCUAAUACAACAGAAACUCCAGUGGAUUCAGAUUCAAGUACAUCAAAAACCAAUGAGUCAUCAGAAGAUCAAGAUGAUCCGUUGAAGAAGUUAACAAAUUUUUCUAGGUCUGUCCUGAAUGGUGCACUAAAAUGGUUAAGAGACAACCUGUAAUCCUCAAUUAUAGGAUGCUGCUUCAUACAAUCCUCUUUUAUACAGCAAUAACAUUGAAUUUUAUGAUCCUCAGAAUAACGUCUAUAGGAUCUUGCAGCACUUUAUCUCUUAGAAUAACUUUUUAAUUGUACCAUCCUACCAUUUUGUAUGAUGUAUCGAAAAGCCUACUGGUUUUGAUAGUCCAAUUUCUUAUCUACAGAUGGAGAAUUAUUUCAUUGGCAUUGGAAUACUUGAAAAAAAAAAAUAGAAUGCUUAAUGUGUUGGGCCCGA